GCUAGUGGCAGACGGGUGAGUAACGCGUGGGAACGUACCUUUCGGUUCGGAAUAAUUCAGGGAAACUUGGACUAAUACCGGAUACGCCCUUCGGGGGAAAGAUUUAUCGCCGAUAGAUCGGCCCGCGUCUGAUUAGCUAGUUGGUGAGGUAAUGGCUCACCAAGGCGACGAUCAGUAGCUGGUCUGAGAGGAUGAUCAGCCACAUUGGGACUGAGACACGGCCCAAACUCCUACGGGAGGCAGCAGUGGGGAAUAUUGGACAAUGGGCGCAAGCCUGAUCCAGCCAUGCCGCGUGAGUGAUGAAGGCCUUAGGGUUGUAAAGCUCUUUUGUCCGGGAAGAUAAUGACUGUACCGGAAGAAUAAGCCCCGGCUAACUUCGUGCCAGCAGCCGCGGUAAUACGAAGGGGGCUAGCGUUGCUCGGAAUCACUGGGCGUAAAGGGCGCGUAGGCGGACUUUUAAGUCGGGGGUGAAAGCCCAGGGCUCAACCCUGGAAUUGCCUUCGAUACUGGGAGUCUUGAGUUCGGAAGAGGUUGGUGGAACUGCGAGUGUAGAGGUGAAAUUCGUAGAUAUUCGCAAGAACACCAGUGGCGAA
rnacentral:rRNA from 1 species